UGAGCAGAACGGGCCCUCGCGGCAGCC
rnacentral:piRNA from 1 species